GAUGAACGCUGGCGGCGUGCCUAAUACAUGCAAGUCGAGCGAACAGAUGAGGAGCUUGCUCCUCUGACGUUAGCGGCGGACGGGUGAGUAACACGUGGAUAACCUACCUAUAAGACUGGGAUAACUUCGGGAAACCGGAGCUAAUACCGGAUAAUAUAUUGAACCGCAUGGUUCAAUAGUGAAAGACGGUUUUGCUGUCACUUAUAGAUGGAUCCGCGCCGCAUUAGCUAGUUGGUAAGGUAACGGCUUACCAAGGCAACGAUGCGUAGCCGACCUGAGAGGGGGAUCGGCAACACUGGAACUGAGACACGGCCAAGACUCAUACGGGAGGCAGCAGUAGGGAAUCUUCCGAAAAGGGCGAAAGCCUGACGGAGCAACGCCGCGUGAGGGAUGAAGGUCUGCGGAUCGUAAAACUCUGUUAUGAGGGAAGAACAAAUGUGUAAGUAACUAUGCACGUCUGGACGGUACCUAAUCAGAAAGCCACGGCUAACUACGUG
rnacentral:rRNA from 1 species